CACGUAGGCGGAUCUUUAAGUCAGGGGUGAAAUCCUGGAGCUCAACUCCAGAACUGCCUUUGAUACUGGAGAUCUAGAGUUCGGGAGAGGUGAGUGGAACUGCGAGUGUAGAGGUGAAAUUCGUAGAUAUUCGCAAGAACACCAGUGGCGAAGGCGGCUCACUGGCCCGAUACUGACGCUGAGGUGCGAAAGCGUGGGGAAGCAAACAGGAUUAGAUACCCUGGUAGUCCACGCCGUAAACGAUGGAUGCGUAGCCGUUGGCGGGUUUACCCGUCAGUGGCGCAGCUAACGCUUUAAGCAUCCCGCCUGGGGAGUACGGUCGCAAGAUUAAA
rnacentral:rRNA from 1 species